rnacentral:lncRNA from 1 species
UAACCGAAGCUUGAACAAUUGGCGCAACAGCAGCAGCUCCGUUCUUCCUUGGACGACCGGGUCCUCUCUUAGCCGACUCCGUAACAGGAACCGGAACAGUCACAGGUAAUUGGACUUGUUGCAGUUGCCAGAUUGGCUGUCCGUUAGACUGGACUUGAAUAGGCUGAGCAUUGAUGGGUUGUUGUUGUUGACCUUCGGGUUUAGGUUUAGGAGGACGACCACGACCUCGUUUCAGAGGCUGAGAAGCAGAGACAGCCAUGGGAUCGUUGACGGUGCUGUUAGUUGAAGGGAGAAUCACAGAUCUGGGA